rnacentral:rRNA from 1 species
ACGCUACGUUCAGAGUUUGAUCCUGGCUCAGGACGAACGCUGGCGGCGUGCCUAACACAUGCAAGUCGAACGGAGUAAUUGCUUCGGUGAUUACUUAGUGGCGAACGGGUGAGUAACGCGUGAGGAACCUGCCUUUCAGUGGGGGACAACAGUUGGAAACGACUGCUAAUACCGCAUAAUGUUAUCGGAUCGCAUGGUCUGAUAACCAAAGAUUUAUUGCUGAAAGAUGGCCUCGCGUCUGAUUAGAUAGUUGGUGGGGUAACGGCCUACCAAGUCGACGAUCAGUAGCCGGACUGAGAGGUUGAACGGCCACAUUGGGACUGAGAUACGGCCCAG